rnacentral:rRNA from 1 species
GAUGAACGCUGGCGGCGUGCCUAAUACAUGCAAGUCGAGCGAACGGACGAGAAGUUUGCUUCUCUGAUGUUAGCGGCGGACGGGUGAGUAACACGUGGAUAACCUACCUAUAAGACUGGGAUAAUUUCGGGAAAUCGGAGCUAAUACCGGAUAAUAUUUUGAACCGCAUGGGGCAAAAGUGAAAGACGGUAUUGCUGUCGCUUAUAGAUUGAUCCGGGCUGCAUUACCUAGUUGGUAAGGUAACGGCUUACCAAGGCAACGAUGCAUAGCCGACCUGAGAGGGUGGUCGGCCACCCUGGGAGUGAGACACGGCCCACACUCCUAGAGGGAGCAGCAGUAGGGACUCUUCCGCGAGGGGCGAGUGCCUGACGGAGCAACGCCGCGUGAGUGAUGAAGGUCUUCGGCUCGUAAAACUAUGUUAUUAGGAAAGAACAUAUGUGUAAGUAACUGUGCACAUAUUGACGGUACCUAAUCAGAAAGCCACGGCUAACUACGUG